UACAGAGGUCCCAAGCGUUGUUCGGAUUCAUUGGGCGUAAAGGGUGCGUAGGCGGCGCGGUAAGUCGGGUGUGAAAUCUCGGAGCUUAACUCCGAAACUGCAUUCGAUACUGCCGUGCUUGAGGACUGGAGAGGAGACUGGAAUUUACGGUGUAGCGGUGAAAUGCGUAGAUAUCGUAAGGAAGACCAGUGGCGAAGGCGGGUCUCUGGACAGGUUCCUGACGUGAGGCACGAAGGCCAGGGGAGCAAACGGG
rnacentral:rRNA from 1 species